AAGAUCCCCUGGAGAAGGGAAAGGCUACCCACUCCAGUAUUCUGGCCUGGAGAAUUCCAUGGACUGUAUAGUCCAUGGGGUUCCAAAAAGUCGGACACGACUGAGUGACUUUCACUUUCACUUUCAAUCAGUUUCACAAAGCAGGCUGACUAUCAUGAACAAAUGGAAUACCAUGAGCAAAUCUGACUAUCAGGGUCAGCGUGGCCCCAAUAAUGGAGCCUACUCUUGAUUGAGCAGGACUUGCCGACAGGAUUAUAAUGACCUCUGCAGGAGUAUUUUGCUGAGAUGAGGCUCAAGGGCAGAUUUUUCUGAUGCUUAUUUCAGAAGACCGAGGAGUCUCCAGGUUGCAGAUCAUGUAAAGGCUGUUUAGUGUUAGACAAGAGCCCACUCUCGGGUCCUGAAAGGGGUCCCCCUUCCAGCAACAACUGGCAAUCACAAAGGGACCCCUGUUUACUGUGGCUGACAUCCCGACCACUCAGGGUACUCAAGAACCAGCUCGCAUGCUGACGGAGCAGACCCAGCAACCACAACCGGGACCCCUUUGUCCCUGAUCUCUUUCCUGAACAAUGGCUGGAGUGCCUCGACCAGCCUCCUGAAGUUCGUCGAUGAGCUCCUAAGAAACUAACAGAAGAGGGAAUUUGGGAGGGAGGAUUCCCAAAGUUCCUGGUUAAGAGGCCAUGAAAUACUUCAUACCCACAAGGAUGGCUACAAUCAAAAAGACAAAUGGAGUAAAACAAGACAAUGGAGAGGUCCAGGAGACACUACUCAAUUGACACUGGCUCCAGCGAGGAUCAGUUGAACUUCAGAGGUAGAAAGCGCCACAGAAGAUGACUGCAGCCAUGUUUUCACAACUUCCAGUGGCCAUGUCAGAAUAGCUCCCACUGUACCACCACCUCACAUCCUCCGGCAAAGAGAUGAACUAGUGGAGGAGGCCAAGAAAGUAUUUUUCAAUAGGGACCGGGAGGAGGAGGUCAAAAGGGGGCAAAGAGAAGCCCAAAAGGAUGGAAGGAUAGAGAAGCCGGUCCAAGCCUUAGCCCAACAACAGGCUAAAAUAUUGGCCUUGGUUCACCCUACCACUGUGUGAGGGUCACGGAGAGAGCGAGAAAGAAAAAAGGAUCCUAGGGAUCCACCACUGAGAUGCACCCAGUGUGCCUACUGCAAAGAGGAUGGACAUUGGAAAGGGGAGUGUCCAUAUCACCCUAAGGGAAGGCGUGUUGAGACCCCUACACCUGCUCUGUCUGUGUUAGUCCUAGGAGACCGGGACUGAGGAUGCCCAACGGCUUGAGAACAGCUCCCCACCCGUCCACCAGAAUGGUGAGAUCCAGAUCACUCCUCUCGACCAUUGUGAACUUCUUUCGGAUGGCGGGGGGGGGGCUGCCUUCUCUGUUCUUCCCUUCCGAUUAGGACCUUUAGAUUCCCUGACUAAAAUGGUGAUGGGGGUGGACAGAAAAUCCCAAAGUCGAAAUUUUACUAAGCUCCUCCAUUGUAAGGUGGGCGAUUGGCAAGGGACCCAUCCCUUUUAAUACAUCCCUGGUUGUCCUGCUCCCCUACUGGGGAGAGACUUACUGUGUUGCCUCCAGACCAGAGUGAGGUGGGGAAAACUAGAAACCGAUAACUUCCUUUGUCUGGUGUCUGAACAUUUGCAGUCAGACAUAGGAAAGGAGGAUUCCCUCCCUUUCUCAGAUGAGGUCAAUCCUCAGGUGUGGGGUGUCUCCAGCCCCCGGGCCAGUCAUAAAUGUUUCACCAGUGAAGAUUCUCCUGAGGCAGAUUCCCCUCCACUGGAGAAGACAAUGCUCCUUAAAACCAGAAGCUCUUGAGGGACUUGAAACGCUAGUUAACAAAUAAAUACCGGGAUACUGGAAUCCUAAUCACUUGUGAGUCUUCCUGCAAUGCUCCAAUCCUGCCUGUUAAGAAGCCGGAUGGAUCUUACUGACUUAUCCAGGAUCUAAGAGCAGUUAAAGAGGCUGUGGGUCCCAUUCCCCCCAUAGUCCCGAACCCAUAUACCCUCCUAUCACAAGUCCCAGGAACUGCUAAGUACCUUUCAGUCUUAGACCUUAAGGAGGCUUUCUUUUACAUUCCUCUUCAUCCUGCGUCCCUAGAGCUCUUUGCCUUUGAGUGGCGGGCCCUGGGAACAAGGGAGGCCAUAUAACCUUGCUGGACGUGACUAUCAAAGGGGUUUAGAGACAGGCCCCGUAUUUUCGGGACUUCCUUGGGGAAAGAACUAAGAGAAUUAACCUUAGCAAACAGUAACCUAAUACAAUAUGUCGAUGACUUGCUCAUAACAAGGCCAGAUUUUACCAGCUCUCAAAUGGAUACUAUAAAAACCUUAAAUUUUCUUUAUGAAAAGGGAUAUCGGGUAUCCCCUAAGAAAGCUGAGAUUAGUUUAACCCAAAUAAGAUACUUAGGAUUUAUAAUUACAGAGGAGGGGGAAAAAAAAAAAAAAGCUUGACCCUCCAGAGGAAAUUCCUCAUCUUAAAUACCCCUUACCCCCAAACAAGGAAACAGCUUAGGGGAUUUUUAAGAAUGACUGGAUUUUCCUGGAUCUGGAUUCCUGGUUAUGGGAAUCUGGCCUGACCCCUGUAUGAGAAACUAAGAAGCAAAGAGGAUGGGCCACUUGAUUGGAAUGGAAACCUGCAAGGUUGCCUUUAAUGUCCUGAAAGAGGCUGUCAGUAUGGCUCCAGAUUUAGACCUCCCAAACCUGGAAAAGCCUUUCAGGCUGUAUGUCUCUGAGAGAGUAGGAACUGCUCUUGGGAUGUUAGGACAAAUGGUGGGGCCCGUAUUACAGCCUGUGGCCUACCUCUCAAAACAACUAGAUGAGGUAGCCAAAGGGUGGCCCGCUUGGCUCGAGGCAGUAGCAGCCACCACUCUUAUGGUUAAAGAGGCCUUACAAAAAAACCUCGAAUAGCCAAAGCAAUCUUGAGAAGGAAGAAUGCAACUGGAGGAAUCAACCUGCCUGACUUCAGACUAUACUACAAAGCCACAGUCAUCAAGAGAGUAUGGUACUGGCACAAAGACAGAAAUAUAGAUCAGUGGAACAGAAUAGAAAGCCCAGAGAUAAAUCCACAACACCUUAUGGACACCUUAUCUUCGACAAAGGAGGCAAGGAUAUACAAUGGAAAAAAGACAACCUCUUUACAAGUGGUGCUGGGAAAACUGGUCAACAACUUGUAAAAGAAUGAAACUAGAACACUUUCUAACAGCAUACACAAAAAUAAACUCAAAAUGGAUUAAAGAUUGAAAUGUAAGACCAGAAACUAUAAAACUCGUAGAGAACAUAGGCAAAACACUCUCCGACAUAAAUCACAGCAGGAUCCUCUAUGAACCACCUCCCAGAAUAUUGGAAAUAAAAGCAAAAAUAAACAAAUGGGACCUAAUUAAACUUAAAAGCUUUUGCACCACAAAGGAAACUAUAAGCAAGGCGAAAAGACAGCCCUCAGAAUGGGAGAAAAUAAUAGCAAACGAAGCAACAGACAAAGGAUUAAUCUCAGAAAUGUACAAGCAACUCCUGCAGCUCAAUUCCAGAAAAAUAAAUGACCCAAUCAAAAAAAUGGGCCAAAGAACUAAACAGACAUUUCUCCAAAGAAGACAUACAGAUGGCUAACAAACACAUGAAAAGAUGCUCAACAUCACUCAUUCUCAGAGAAAUGCAAAUCAAAACCACAAUGAGGUACCAUUACACACCAGUCAGGAUGGCUGCUAUCCAAAAGGCUACAAGCAAUAAAUGCUGGAGAGGGUGUGGAGAAAAGGGAACCCUUUUACACUGUUGGUGGGAAUGCAAACUAGUACAGCCACUAUGGAGAACAGUGUGGAGACUUCUUAAAAACCUGGAAAUAGAACCAACUGCCAUAUGACCCAGCAAUCCCACUUCUGGGCAUACACACUGAGGAAACCAGAUCUGAAAAAGACACGUGCACCCCACUGUUCAUCGCAGCACUGUUUAUAAUAGGCAGGACAUGGAAGCAACCUAGAUGCCCAUCAGCAGACGAAUGGAUAAGGAAGCUGUGGUACAUAUACACCAUGGAAUAUUACUCAGCCUUUAAAAAGAAUUCAUUUGAAUCAGUUCUAAUGAGAUGGAUGAAACUGGAGCCCAUUAUACAGAGGGAAGUAAGCCAGAAAGAUCAAGACCAAUACAGCAUACUAACACAUAUAUAUGGAAUUUAGAAAGAUGGUAAUGAUAACCCUAUAUGCAAAACAGAAAAAGAGACACAGAAGUA